rnacentral:lncRNA from 1 species
ACCAAAUUGUCCACACUGCACCCCGAAACACCCAAGAAGCUCCUUUCCACUUCUGGAUAGAAUGUGCACAAUAUGCUCCCUAUCGAAGCUGAUUAGGCACAAAGAUAGGCAUAGACAUCUCAACGAUUACGAACCUGAAGACUAUAUUGGCCACAACACACUGAAAAAACUAGCAAAUAUAUACAAGCCUUUAAACAACAUAUUCAAGCUACACAUCGAUUGUGAAUUCAAACAUAACAUAUUGGAGGAUAAAGCGGUGUCUAUACCUUCCAUGUAAACAGAGAAGAAGAAGAGAAAGUCUAAGGAAGGUAGGUUCUUAUUUUGAUUUAUUUAAUAAGUUUUCUGUUUAAAAGUUGUGCUUUUAACAUAUUCUCCUUAACUUUAAAAGUAUGUAGAAGGUUUUCUAAAGAAAGAUUCAUAUUUUAUAUCAUAUAUUAGUAUUUUAUUAGCUGUUAUAUUUUGAUGUCCAUUACACUGUACAGUCUAUUCCGAAAAGGUUUUCACUAAAUUACUACUUACCAUUUUUCCGGUUACGAUAAAAACUUGAUGCAUUAGUUAAUACAGUAAUAAGAUAUAUGCUAUCAAAGACCUAGAAGAUACUAUUUAAUGUCUCCUUGACAACGGGAGAAAUCAAC